AACCUAUGGUGGGGGAACCUUCUUAGUAAGUCCUUAUACGUCUCCCAUGCAUGAUAUAAGGUUUCUAAGUCCAUUUGUACAAAGGAGGAGAUACCAUUCCUCAGAUU
rfam:Gossypium hirsutum cultivar TM-1 chromosome 10, whole genome shotgun sequence